rnacentral:rRNA from 1 species
UACAGAGGGGGCAAGCGUUAUUCGGAAUUAUUGGGCGUAAAGGGCGCGUAGGCGGCUUUGCAAGUGACGGGUGAAAUCCCUCGGCUUAACCGAGGAACUGCCUGUCAAACUGCAUGGCUUGAGACCGGGAGAGGUGAGUGGAAUUCCCAGUGUAGCGGUGAAAUGCGUAGAUAUUGGGAGGAACACCAGUGGCGAAGGCGGCUCACUGGAUCGGUACUGACGCUGAUGCGCGAAAGCGUGGGGAGCAAACAGG